AGGUAACCGCUACAGACCGCCUCAAUGUGGUGCGACUCAGCAUGAGAGCAAGGAGCCCUGUGCGUCCGCCCACCUCCCCCGAGCCUGAGGUGAGCUCUAUCACGGAGGAGACGGGGGUUCCCGAGGACAUGGAUGAGGAGGAGGCAAAGGAGGAGGAGAAGGCUCUGUGUUCACACAUCAGGUCCAUUCAGAAAGAAAGAGAAAACCUGACCUCCCUUUUGCCAGCCUUAGAGUGUCGGCACUUGAGUUCGGACGACGAUGGUCUAAGCACCGAUGGCAUGGAUAGCAUAUACGAUACCGCUGAUGAGGAGGAAAACGAGGAAUACGCCUUGACCUUUGACCUUCCAGGGAGGAAAAUGAAAGUGAAAGCAAAAUCAAACCAAAGGCCAAGGAGUAGUCAAACUUAAAUUGUGUGAGUCCCCCUUCUCAGCUUCAGCACUUAACCAAGAGGCGAGUCUCCAACAAUCCCAUCAAAAGACCCCCAAAGCGGUACAAACCCUGCCCAGACAAACGGGGAGACCAGUGUUUUUCCUGUAGCAGUGACGACCUGAGCGAUCCUCUGGAGAGCACUGCCAACGAUUCCACUGCAUCGAACAUUUCAGAGGGGUCCUCAGUGCUUCCAAUCGCUCACACCCGCGAACCUUCGUGGGAAUCCAGUUCUGUCUCGAUCCCAGCCCUCCACAACAUUUGUGAGGAUGAGGAUGAAAUCAUGGUCUAGUAACUGUGAGCCCUGCCAUUCCUUGUUAGUCACUGUGACACAAAAAGUCCACUCAUUCAUUGCGUGUUUUUCUGUUCAUUGUUUUUUUUUAUUUAACUUGACCCAUAUCAGUUGUGGAGAGUCAUUCCAAGUCUUCAUGAAUAUUCAUAUUCUACCUCAUUUGUAUGCAUAUUAAUGACAUGCUAAUUAGUCAUUAACAUAUGGGAUGGACAGGGUUGGAGAUGUGGUGUGUUUGCAGUGCUUUAGAAGAGAACAUUUUUGAUUCAACAUGUAGACAUGAACAUGUAGACUUUGGUAUUAUUGAAUGCAGUAUGCUGUUGAAUGUAUCAAGUGCCUAGUGAACUCAAUGUCUUCACAAUUUGCAAGUUCAUUACAUGAUUAUUUAUUUUCAGUUUAACUGUGCUUUGUGGGAUUGCAAACUGAUUUCAUAUGCAAUUUAUGUUUAUUUUUUGCCAAAACUUGUGUAUUUUUCAAGUGCAAUAAUAGUCAUAUUAAGUAGCGCUUUGUAUGCUUACAAACAAUUAUUCAUGCGUGUCACUUCCCAGUUACGUCGCCAUGGAAAAGACAAAGUAUCAGAGUGCCAGUCGGUUUUUGUCAAUAUAAAUAUGUAUAAUGUGUUCUAGUCAUGCAGUACAGAACUUGGUUAUAUUUGUACGAUGAUGGUGAUAAUUAAGAAGAAGAAGAAGAUGAUGAUGAUGAUGAUGAUGAUGAUGAUGAAUUUGGUUAGAUAGACGUGUUAGAUUGGCAUAUUCUGUGAUGGACACAUGCUGUUAUGAUCUGAGAUAUCAUCAAUGUAAAUAGUCAUUUUAUUUUGAUCAUCUCAUUAUGAUUUUUUUAAUGUGAUUUUUUUGUUUGUUUCUUGGGGUCUUUCAAGUAUGUUUUAUGAUUGCUUGCUGCUGUUGGAACAACACCAUUUCAGUUGUGGAGAAAGUGAAUGCUCUGAAUCUUUGGUACAUUACGUUGUCCGAGAUAUAUUAAAGAUCAUCGUUUUCGCCAUGUUC
rnacentral:misc_RNA from 1 species